CCUACGGGAGGCAGCAGUGGGGAAUAUUGGGCAAUGGAGGAAACUCUGACCCAGCGACGCCGCGUGCGGGAUGAAGGCCUUCGGGUUGUAAACCGCUUUCAGUAGGGAAGAAGCGAAAGUGACGGUACCUACAAAAGAAGCACCGGCUAACUAUGUGCCAGCAGCCGCGGUAAUACAUAGGGUGCAAGCGUUGUCCGGAAUUAUUGGGCGUAAAGAGCUCGUAGGUCGUUUGUUACGUCGGAUGUGAAAACCUGAGGCUCAACCUCAGGCCUGCAUUCGAUACGGGCAAACUAGAGUUUGGUAGGGGAGACUGGAAUUCCUGGUGUAGCGGUGGAAUGCGCAGAUAUCAGGAGGAACACCAAUGGCGAAGGCAGGUCUCUGGGCCAAUACUGACACUGAGGAGCGAAAGUCUGGGGAGCGAACAGGAUUAGAUACCCUGGUAGUCCAGACCGUAAACGGUGGGCACUGGUUGUGGGAACCUUCCACGGUUUCUGCGACGCAGCUAACGCAUUAAGUGCCCCGCCUGGGGAGUCGAUCGCAAGAUUAAACUUAAGGAAUUGACG
rnacentral:rRNA from 1 species